GCUCGCGGGGCACUCCGGGCGCGCGCGGGCGGAGCGCGCAGAGCGCGGCGCGGCGGCGAGCGGUGAGGAGCUGCGGGUGCGGGCGGGCGGGCCGGCACUGCCGCAUCUCCCUCCUCCCCUGCGCCUUCAGCCGCUGUAAAACUCUGCCGGGACAUGGUUGUGGUGCCGCCCGAACCGCGGCCCGGCCGGUGGGGUGCAGGGAGCGUCCCGGGAAGGCGCUCCGGGGGACGCGGUAGCGCCCGGCGCGGUCUGAAAAUCAGUCGGGGUCUGCUGUGGCCCCGGGUGCCGUUCCGGGCCGCCGGAGCCGCGCCCCGCCGUGCGCUGCUGACACUGCGCGGCCAGCCCGUCCCCGAGGAGCUGUGAAGAGCUCGGGGCUGCCGCGAUGGACGGCGACGCGGGAGUCACAGCUGGGAACGAUUCGGUUUUGUGUUUUGAUGUGCAAUAAAGAUGAAGUGCUUAAAAGA